rnacentral:rRNA from 1 species
UGGGGAAUAUUGGACAAUGGGGGCAACCCUGAUCCAGCAAUGCCGCGUGGGUGAAGAAGGCCUUCGGGUUGUAAAGCCCUUUCAGUUGGAAAGAAAAGCUUGGUUCUAAUAAAGCCGGGUCUUGACGGUACCAACAGAAGAAGCACCGGCUAACUCCGUGCCAGCAGCCGCGGUAAUACGGAGGGUGCGAGCGUUAAUCGGAAUUACUGGGCGUAAAGCGCACGUAGGCGGUUUGUUAAGUCGGAUGUGAAAUCCCCGGGCUCAACCUGGGAAUGGCAUUCGAUACUGGCAGGCUAGAGUUUAGUAGAGGAGAGGGGAAUUCCCGGUGUAGCGGUGAAAUGCGUAGAUAUCGGGAGGAACAUCAGUGGCGAAGGCGCCUCUCUGGACUAAAACUGACGCUGAGGUGCGAAAGCGUGGGGAGCAAACAGG